AGAGGCGUAGUAAUCGAACACCAUCUUGGGCAACUUCUGCUUGGCGACGGCCUCGUACUCCAUCACGUUGGUGAUCUCCAUGCUUAUGGUAGCGUGUCACACCCCCACAACUUCAACCGAUCUAGGAAGAGAAACCAAGUGAAACAGCAUGUAAUUGCUACAACAUCAGAAAGAGAAGGCAUGCAUGGUUGAUGGAACAACAAAGCAGUGAGCACAAGGUUAGCUGAAACGAAGAGGUCAGAAUCCAAAGAGGAAGAGGAGAAGCCAACCUCGGUAGCUGAGAGCAGGGGAAGGAAUGGAGGGUGGGGGAUGGAGAAGAGUGAUAUAUGGGUUGGGAUGUGAGAUGGUG
rnacentral:lncRNA from 1 species